rnacentral:rRNA from 1 species
AUGACCUCGGAUCAGGUAGGGAUACCCGCUGAACUUAAGCAUAUCAAUAAGCGGAGGAAAAGAAACCAACAGGGAUUACCUCAGUAACGGCGAGUGAAGCGGUAACAGCUCAAAUUUGAAAUCUGGCUCCUCGGGGCCCGAAUUGUAAUUUGUAGAAGAUGCUUUGGGUCUGGGCCUGGCCUAAGUUCCUUGGAACAGGACGUCGUAGAGGGUGAGAAUCCCGUAUGCGGCUGGCGCCCGUGCCCGUGUAAAGCUCCUUCAACGAGUCGAGUUGUUUGGGAAUGCAGCUCUAAAUGGGUGGUAAAUUUCAUCUAAAGCUAAAUAUUGGCCAGAGACCGAUAGCGCACAAGUAGAGUGAUCGAAAGAUGAAAAGCACUUUGGAAAGAGAGUUAAACAGUACGUGAAAUUGUUGAAAGGGAAGCGCUGGCAACCAGACUUGGGCGCUGUUGAUCCGCUAGGGUUCUCUCUAGGGCACUCGGCAGUGCGCAGGCCAGCAUCGGUUUGGGGGGUUGGAGAAUGGCUGGUGGAAUGUGGCUGUCUUUGGGCAGUGUUAUAGCCACCGGUGGCAUGCAGCCUCCCCGGACCGAGGACCGCGCUUCGGCUAGGAUGCUGGCGUAAUGGUUGUCAGCGACCCGUCUUGAAACACGGACCAAGGAGUCUAACAUCUAUGCGAGUGUUUGGGUGUUAAACCCAUACGCGGAAUGAAAGUGAACGUAGGUGAGAACCCGCAAGGGUGCAUCAUCGACCGAUCCUGAUGUCUUCGGAUGGAUUUGAGUAAGAGCAU